UUCUCAUGAGCCCCGCUGUUUUACUCAAAGAACGGCACACCGACCCACAGCCUGAGCUGACCAGUGGGGGUCCACUCCCAGGAGGCACCUCUGCUGCUCGUUAUGGCCGCUGCAGCUUGGGGAUGGAGGUGGACUCCCCACCCCGAGUGGUGGGUAAGCUUUGGUGUUACUCCCCAGCACUGGGGACAUACCAUGAAUGAAGCUGAAAAUGUUUUGAAUGCACCCGGGGCUGGCAUCCCAGAGGGAAGACAGAAAGUGGACAAGUGGACAUGUCCUGGAGGCCAAGGGCGGGAGCCAGGAGAAGGCCCACCAGGAGCCAGGGGCCCUGGAGCAACAUCAAAAGAGGGAUGUCGCUGUGAAGAGAAACAGGACCAACCUUUGCUCAGUCAAGCCUCUCAUCAGGGGUCACGUCUGUGGAAAAACAGGAAGGUCUUGGGAAAUCCCCUGGGAAGAGUACCAUGAUGUUGACCUGCUUGGGGUCUCGAGUCCUUGUGUUGAAGUCAGAGGGUUUCUGGAUCGAACAGACCAGGCCAGCUUCCUAGGGCAAAGCUGACGGAGUUUGCUGAUGGAGCAGCUAUGCGUCCAAACAGGCGCUCAGAUCCUAGAGUCUUGCCAAGUCCUCCUAGCCCUGCUCCACAUCCUUCUCCAAGCCCCACCUUUUCUGAGUUGGUUUAUAUUUAAAAACAAAAUACAACUAAGAAAAACAGAUACUGCUGCUCCCCCGCCCCUGGCCCCGGAAAACCACGGCUCCCAGGGGAUAGAGUGGACCUGGGCCCUGACCCCUGUCUGACGGAGUCUGGGUUUGAAAUCCUGUUUAUGGCCACGGGGCCUUUUCAUGUUGAGGAAGCAGUUUGUUGUCCAAAAUAGCUGCUGCAGGAAUUGGCUGUAUUUUUAGGAGCAGGAAGGGCUUGGGGCUGAACUUGUGCAUUU